UAUCUCUGUAGAGUCUGCAUAUCAAUAAGCGGAGGAAAAGAAACUAACUAGGAUUCCCUCAGUAACGGCGAGUGAAGCGGGAAGAGCUCAAAUUUGAAAUCUUCAAGGUUCUACCUUGACGAAUUGUAGUUUAAAGAAGUGUUUUCUGUUGGAUGUUUUGGUAAAAGUUCUUUGGAAUAGGACAUCAUAGAGGGUGAGAAUCCCGUAUUUGACCAUUAUUUCAGCUUUGUGAUACACUUUCAAAGAGUCGGAUUGUUUGGGAAUGCAGUCCAAAAUGGGUGGUAAAUUUCAUCUAAAGCUAAAUAUUGGCGAGAGACCGAUAGCGAACAAGUACCGUGAGGGAAAGAUGAAAAGAACUUUGAAAAGAGAGUUAAACAGUACGUGAAAUUGUCAAAAGGGAAGCGUUUGACACCAGUGUUGUUUUCUCGAAAAUCAAUUAAAAAAAGUUGGAUUUUGUAUUGUAUUAGACCUUAUCAGCUUACUGCUACUCUUUUCUCUGCUUUUUUUAAUGCACUUUUCGUUUAACAAGUCAACAUCAAUUUCUUUUGUUGUAAAAGAGUCAUUGGAAGGUGGCUUUCACUUCGGUGAAAGUGUUUAUAGCCUUUGGCUUCUGCAAUCGGAGAGAUUGAGGUCUGCAGCGUAGAUCCUUCGGGGCUAGAUACGUAGAUGCUAAGUUAUAGUUUUUUAUAGACAACUUGUUGACUAUAAUUAAUCAUGUAGCUUACUCGUUUGCGCUAUUUUACCUACGCUUAGGAUGUUGAUCUGUAGUGCGUGCGC
rnacentral:rRNA from 1 species